rnacentral:rRNA from 1 species
CGCCUGUUUAUUAAAAACAUUGUUUUUAUAAUUUAUUAAAAAUAUAACCUGCCCAUUGAUUAAUUUUAAAAGGCCGCAGUAUUUUGACUGUGCUAAGGUAGCAUAAUCAUUAGGUUUUUAAUUGGAAUCUAGAAUGAAUGGUUUGAUGAGAAAUAAUCUUUUUUAUUAUUAAAAAUUGAAUUUUAUUUAUUAGUUAAAAAGCUAAUAUUUUAUAAAGGGACGAGAAGACCCUAUAGAAUUUUAUAAUUAAAUAUUUAAUUUAUUAUUAAUUUAUUAUUAAUUUAUUAUUAAUUUAUUUUAUUGGGGAGAUAAAUAAAUUUUAAAAACUUUAAUUUUGUAAAAAUCAUUUUUUUUUGUUUAAAUGAUCUUUUAUUAUAGAUUAAAAAAUUAAAUUACCUUAGGGAUAACAGCAUAAUAAUUUUAAAAAGUUCUUAUUUUUAAAAAAGUUUAUGACCUCGAUGUUGGAU